AGCGAACGCUGGCGGCAGGCUUAACACAUGCAAGUCGAGCGGGCAUCUACGGAUGUCUGCGGCUGACGGGUGACUAACACGGGGGAAGGUAGCCUUCGGUUCGGAACAACUCUUUGAAAGUGGAGCUAGUACCGGAAACGCCCCUAUUGGGGCAGGUUUCCUGCCGGAGGAACCGCGCGAGCCUGAUUACCUAGGUGGUUGGGUAACGGCCUACCAAGGCGACGAGCUGUAGCUGGGCAGUGAGGAUCAGCCGCCACUCUGGAACUGGGACGCGGCGCGGACUCCUACGGAAGGCAGCAGAGGGUAAUAUUGGCCAAUGGGGUCAGGCCUGAUCCAGCCAUGCCGCGUGAGUCAUGAAGGCCUGAGGGAUGAAAAGCACGUUUGUACGCGACGAUAAUGACGGUACCGAAAGAAUAAGCCCCGGCUAACUUCGUG
rnacentral:rRNA from 1 species